UGAAGACUACUCCUGAAAAUG
rnacentral:piRNA from 1 species